UGAUCACAGAUUGGGAGCUAGAUGUACCUUGUUUGAUCUGCAAAGUUCCUUUUUCUCUACAAACAAGAACUUGUCAUCAAAGAGUGCUCAAUGGUCUUUUUAGAUUUCUCAGUAGACCUUUUCAGAAGUUCUAGUUCUAUAGACGGAAGGAGGUGUGGAGACCUUUUACCCAUUGGGAGUUGCAGUUGAGCAUAGAUGGAAAAUGGAUGGAAAAAGACCAGAAUGUGAGGGAACAGCAAUACACCCACUCCUUCUCCUAAGGGAGACCAGUCUGAACAUCUGGGAAAGUUGCAGGCAGAAGACCCCAGAUGAAGAAAAAAAAAGUGUGGAUGUUCAGCGACAGAUAUUUAGAGAGUUCUGCUACCAGGAGGCCAAGGGCCCCCGAGAAAUAUGCAGCCGACUUCAUUACCUUUGCUCCCAGUGGCUGCAGCCAGAAAGAAAUUCAAAGUCUCAGAUGCUGGACAUGGUGAUCUUGGAGCAACUCCUGGCUAUCCUGCCCACAGAGAUAAAGAACUGGGUCCAGGAAUGUGGAGUGGAGACUAGUUCUCAGGCGGUGGCCCUGGCAGAAGGCUUCCUCCUGAGCCAGGUGGAGGAGAAGAGGCAGAAAGAGAUGCAGUUGCAAGUGAAGAUGUCCUGUCUUAAUCUAGUCACUGAAUGCUCUGAAGAGAGAGGGGAUCUGUUCAAAUCUUCCCAGGAUCCACUCUUUGGAGGAAUCUCCCAAAAAGAUCCAGUUCAGGACAUACCACCAGAGAACAAAACGAUACACCAGCUCCCACUGGGAAAACCAGCUCCUCUUUCUGGUGGAACAGAAACAGGGACUGUCCUUCCAGCUCAGGAUUCCAUAUCCUUCAAGGAGGUGGUUAUCUAUUUCACCAAGGAGGAAUGGGCUCUGCUAGAUCCUGAUCAGAAAGCUCUCCAUGAGGAAGUCAUGUUGGAGACCUGUAGGAAUGUGGCUUUUCUGAGUAAUGAGCGGAAGAAUAAACAGGAAACGGAGAUAGAGCCCCUGCGAGUUGUCAAGGCUGAAGUGGGAAAAGAGACAUUUCAAAAUCAGUGCCCACCAAAAAAUCAAGAGGGCAUUCAAUUAAACAUUCAGAGGGGCAAAAAUCCUUCUUCGUGCCCUGAAGUCUGUAACUUCCUGACCCAAGAAGAUAUUAAGGCAGAGAGAAGGCGACAGUGUUUAGAUUAUGAGAAAAUAUUUGAAGAUCAAUCAGAUUUAAGUAAACAGUGUGAAUGGAAAGACGAUGGAAAAAAGUACAGUAGGUUUUUCCCUCUUAGUUUGCAUCAGCAAGAUUACAUGGGAAAGAAACCGUUUAAAUGCAAGGUAUGUAGGAAAAGCUUCAGCAAGUACAGCAAAAUUAUUGCACACGAAAGAAUCCACACGGGGGAGAAGCCAUUUAACUGCAUGGAAUGUGGAAAGAGCUUUACUCAGAGUAGUCACCUUACUUCCCAUAAGAGGAUCCACACAGGGGAAAAGCCCUAUAAAUGCUUGGAAUGUGGAAAGAGCUUUACUCAAAAUAGUCACCUUACUUACCAUAAAAGGCUUCACUCAGGGGAGAAACCAUAUAAGUGCGUGGAGUGUGGAAAGAACUUUGCUGAUUCCAGUUCCCUUCUUGUGCACAAAAGGAUCCAUACUGGGGAAAAACCGUACAAAUGCAUGGAGUGUGGAAAGAACUUCACCCUGAGCAGUCACCUUACUUCCCACAAAAGGAUCCACACAGGGGAGAAACCGUUUCAAUGCAUGGAAUGUGGAAAGAGCUUUAGUACAAAGAGUUCCCUUACUUUCCAUAAAAAGAUCCACACGGGGGAAAGACCAUAUAAGUGCAUGGAAUGUGGAAAGAGCUUCAAGCGGAUUGCUGAUCUAACGCGACAUGAAAGAACACACAGAAAAGAAGAUCCACACAAAUCCACUGGGUGUAGUAAAAGCUUCCAUAAUAGCAGUCACUUAACUUUGCAUAAAAGGACCCCUAGAGGGGAAAAGCCAUUUGAAUGCAGGUAGUGUGGGGAACAGCUUCCCUUUGACUAUGUUGACUGACUCUGCCAUAAAGUCCAUGUCAACUCUUAGCAACCACAUAGAUGGAUUUUCUCCAUGACAGUCUGUCCUCAGGGAUAUUAAUCAACAAAAAUUUCAUAGAAGAUAUACCAUUAUAAAUUCAUUGAGUGUGGAAAAAAAUUCUGUGACGUUUCUGUUACUUCCCAUAAAAGGAUCCACACAGGAGAGAAACCUUUUAAAUGUCUGGAAUGUGGAAAGAGCUUCAUUCAGAAAAGUAAUCUUAUUGCACAUAGAAGGAUCCACAGAAGGGAGAAUCCAUAUAUAUGCAAAGAACAUAGAAAGAGCUUCAGUAUUAGCAGAUUACUUAAUAUAUAUAAAUAAAGGCAGAAACCACACAAAUGUAUGGAAAGUGGGUAGAACUUUGUUCAUUGUAGUAACCUGAUUUCCCAUAAAAAAACCACAUGGAAAAGAAACUCUAAGUGUGGAAAGUGGUUUAGGAUGAAUUUUAAUUUGACUUGACCUCAAAAAAAAAAACACGGAGACUUCAUACCACAGAUGUCUACUAGUUUCUGACACCAUAAGCCACACCUGGCCUUUGAUGGUAAGGCAGGUUGUUGACUUUAAAAACUGAGUGGGUCCAGAACACAGUCUAAUUUUUAUUUCAUUUAUCUUUUGUUUAUCAAAAUUAAAUGAAAGGUAUUAAAUAUAUAAUAUUUCUUCCUUAUUUUGUUGUUAAGAAUUCCCCAUCUCAUGUUAGGGGAUAGUUUGAUGAUCAACUGUUCCAGAGGGAUUUGGGGGGAAACCCAUAGAAGAUUUAGUAUACAUCAAUUUGAGAGCAAUCUUUAAUUAUGUUUUACAUUGUUUCAUUUCCUCAUUCAUAUUUGUUUUUGAUUACAUAAUGAUCUUUCUGUAAAACUCUUGAUUAUUUUAAGUUUGUUCUCAUUGUUUGAAAUCUAAUUUAGUGAGGCUGCUUAGGAACCUGGUUUCAUUCCUAAGACGAUGUAAAGAGAAACUCUUCUGUUCAUGGUCUAGGGCUCUCCAAGUUCUUUUUCCUUCCAAAGUUAACUGGAUUAAAAUGAAAUAGUCUGUUGAACUAGAGGAUGGGAAGAAUCCAUCUUCCUGGCAGAUACAUACUGUAUUUUCAAUGUACGUGGCUGCAAGGUAAAAUAGCACCUGGAACACACAAUGGUUUGAAACCCAGUUGAGCCUUGUGGUUUGUUCAUCAUUGUUUAUCC